rnacentral:lncRNA from 1 species
AUUUGGCUCAGGUUAAUCAGAAUUACGCUGUCACCCAUUCAAUCAGGCAGUGCUCCCUGUGAAGGUGUAAAGGCAAGACUCAAAUCCAUGGUUCUCCAUUGGAAGUGAUCCUGCUCCCUGUCUAUCACCCAGGGGAUAUUUGGUGAUACCUGAGAAAGGAUUGGUUGUCACAAAUGGGGGAGUGCUACAGGCAUCUAGUAGGUGUAAGCCAGGGAUGCUGCUAAACAUCCUACAAAGCACAAGACAGUCCACAAAACAAAGGGUUAUCUGGUCUAAAAUGUCACUGGUGCCAUCCAUGGUUGACAAAUCCUAAGCUAAGCUUACGGAAGGGACUAACAUGGAGUAGGAAGCAUUUUCUCUGAAAGUAGACAGAUUCCCUACAAGAAGGAAGAGGGAUGAUGCUGACUACAUUUACUCAGUUCCUGCAUCAAAACUUAUCAGAUAAUUUGUUCAUCUUUCCCUGGUCAGGAAAUAAAGAAGAAGCCAAGAAGGCCAAGGUUGUGUUGCAGUAAUUACUGUCCCUCAACAGAGGAACACAAGGUGAAGAGAAAGGUGACUCUGCACGCUAACACUUAUUUACAUAAUGUGAUUUGUUCAGAUUUUCAAAUCGAUUCUCAUGGCAUAGGACCAAGAUAAUUUGACUUUGUAUCAUACAUACAUAUUUGUUUAAUUCAUGCUCAGAAGAAUAAUGAACCUUUUAUUUACAUUUAGGUCUAUCACACGGAAAGGAGUGACCAGUUGCAAUGGAACAGAAUAUAUGCCCACCUAUAAGAAGAUGGAAUUGUUUGUGAGGAUGUGGUGGGAGCACAAAACUAGUCAAAGACUGUUCCAGAAAGGAAGAUGAAGAUUUCAUAGUAGGGUACAAGAGAGGGAAGUAUUAGCUGUGUCAUUCCUAAUUAGCUCUGUAAAUAGCUGUUUCCAGUGGAUGAUGCAUAAUAUAUUUUUUAAUUUUUUUUGUUUAUUUCAUAUUUGAGAGAGAAAGAGAGAGAAGAAAGCAAGUAGGAGAGGGCAGAGAGACAGAGACAGAAUCUGAAGCAGGCUCCAGGCUCCCAGCUGUCAGCAUAGAGCCCGACGUGGGGCUCGAGCUCACCAGCAGUGAGAUCAUGACCCGAGCUGAAGUCGGAAGCCCAACCAA